UCAAGCUAACCAUACACUGCUCCCCUCCCUUCUUUUUCUCUCUCUAAAAACUUUUCCUUUCUCUCUCUCUCUAAACGGUGCCGACUUAGCUUUCAAGCUCACUCUUCUCUCUCCUACUUUCUCUCUCUACAAAAUAAUAAUACCUCCUCUUAUAACAAACCCAAGUUUUCAACCGUCCAACCCUUUGAAUAUAUUGUCUGAUAGAGAUAUAUGCGAUUAUAUAUCGAUUUAGAGAGAGAAAGAGAAGAUGAAAGGCGAAUGCGUAGAAGAAAAGGAUCACCCAAACAACAUGUUCACCAAACUCAACCAGACACACAAUUUCCACCACCACAAUCACUUCCAACUCACCCAAACUUCUGAGGAAGACGACAGCCGUAGUCCGGGCGGCGCCAUCACACCCACCGUAAGAGGUGGCGACGGAGCCACCAUCGAGGUUGUUCGUCGAGCCAGAGGACGACCUCCUGGUUCCAAGAACAAACCCAAACCACCCAUCAUCAUAACCCGCGACACCGAGCCUUCCAUGAGCCCGCACGUGCUCGAGGUCGCCGGCGGCGUCGAUGUGGUCGAUGCCGUGUCGCGGUUCUGCCGGAAAAGGAAUAUGGGUCUUUGUGUUCUCACCGGUUCGGGCACCGUAGCGAAUGUGACUCUCAAACAACCGUCGACCACUCCCGGAGCUACAGUCACAUUCCAUGGCCGUUUCGACAUACUUUCUCUCUCUGCGACGGUGCUCCCCAAUACGACGUCGUUAGAUCUGCUUCCGGUGGCGAAUGGGUUCACCAUAUCGCUGGCCGGGCCGCAGGGUCAGAUCGUCGGAGGGUCGGUUGUGGGGUCUCUGCUCGCCGCCGGGACGGUGUACGUGGUGGCCGCGUCGUUCAACAACCCAUCGUUUCACCGGUUGCCGGCGGAGGACGAUGUGCGGAGCUCGGCUUCUGGAGGGAACGUUAACGGUCGUGGGCAGUCGUCUCCGGGGGAUUCCGGUGGCGGAGACGGUGGGCAUCCGCCGGCUGCGGCGGAAUCUUGUGGGAUGUCUGUUUACAGCAGUCAUUUGCCUUCUGAUGUGAUAUGGGCACCUUCUGCUAGACAGCCACAACCACUACCACCCUACUGAAUCUACUGAUCAUCAAGUUUUGUUCCUGUAUUCUGAUGAAUCCAUGGAGGGCAACUAGGAUCUUUCACAUAGUUAUAUGGAUUCAUUCGUACCAUUUGUUAUUGGGAGAGUGUUAAAAUAAGUAAUGGUGGGAAUGGGAAUGGAAUGGGGGUGGGAGUGUAAAAUUUUCUUUUAUGGUAUUCAAGCUCUUAUCUUUGCAAGUUUAGCAGCGGCUACACAUGAAUCCAUGGAGGGCAACUAGGAUCUUUCAAAUAGUUAUGGAUUCAUCUGGUGGGCAGUUCGCAAGUUUGGUGAUGAGAUGUAUAGCUGGUCUGGUGUGGACUGCUUUUGCUGCAAUUGCUGGGUGGAACAGAUAACAUUGAUGAUUCCAUUUUGACUUGGCAGCAGUAGUAGUUUCUAGCUGUGUUUGUGAUAAUAAAAGGUCUGUUGGAGUGAGAACGUGGCUAGGGCUGUGUUUGGCAUCUCUUUUCUUUUCAGUGCAGUGUAUACGUUUGCUUUAUCUGAUAUGAUUGCUAGCUAGCCCAGCUCUAAGAACUACUACUUUAUUUUCUAUCAUAUAUAUCUUGCUUUUUCGCUGAUCUAA